UCCAGUUCUAGGGUUAUUGUAGCGUACAAAUUCCCAAUUCUUCGAAGGGUCCCUGUAUCGAGGGUUUGAUUUUGUGUUUCCUCCCUCCCCUUCACCAACCAACCCCCGCCGCCGGCCGCCGCCACUCCUCCAGCCGUCGUCACCACGCCGCUUGUACCGCCCAGUUUAGUUUCUCCCCUCUCUCGCGCUGGCGUUUGCGUCCUACUCCCGCGGUCUCCUGCGGCGCCGCGUCUCUGAAGUCGGCGACGACGACCGUGCCCACCAAUCCAACGAACAGCUCUCCCCCCUCCCCUCCCCGCACCCUCGACGCCCGGCCGCCGUGCCUCUGUCGGGCGGGGUAGAAACGGGAGGAGUGGGCCGGUGAGGAGAUCCAGAUGCGCUAGCGAUGGCGCCGUCCGUCAGUCCAUGUCCCUCAGCAACCGUGCUGGCGACCUGGACACUUGGACAGGGAGAUGGAUGCACAGGAAGGCCAAUCAUACAAGUUUCGGCAGAGGCGGCCGCUUCGCCGCCGGCCAGCACGAGGGCCACACUGCGGAGUCGCUCUCCUGGCACUACUAGAUCUGAGGCUCUGAUGCUAGCACUUUCACCAGAUGAGUCUGAGAAAUCGCACUGGAUGUUGCUAGCAAUAUCUUCUGGAUGUUGCUGCCAGAUCAGAGAGUAUUGCUUUCGCAGUAGCUGUUAACCAGGCACAGUAAUACGAGUUAGAGGUCACAUGGGAGAAAAAGAAAAUGAAUGGCGCACACCGGAACCUCCAUGUCCUACACGAUCUGAGGCUCUGAUGCUGGCACUGUCACCAGAUGAGUCCGAUAAAUCGCACUGGAUGUUGCUAGCAAUAUCUUCUGGAUGUUGCUGCCGGAUCAGAGAGUAUUGUUUUUGCAGUAGCUGUUAACCAGACUAUCAACGACGAUGCGCAGACAUGGAGCAGACUGGGGAUGAAAGGGGUGUGCGGAGUUCUCCCUGGGGUUUAGUGUGUGCGUGCUACCGCUUGGAUGAGCAAUCAUGUGUGCAUUCAUGUGCACGGAUUUUUCUUUAUCGACCCUAUCUAGCAAUGAAAUGAUACACAAGCCUUCUGCAUAUUUGCGAAAAUAUUUUGAAGUACUCGCUGCAAGUACAGCUCAUUCUUCAGUCAACUUUCAUUCCAUUAUGUCUUCUAAAGCAUGGUAUUUAGUAUGCUUUCUGCAUACCUUGUGAAUACUGAUAUUGCAUUUCACAGAAUGGGAGGAAGGUUUAUUUCUUUUAAGGUUCUUUUUCCUUGAGCUGUUGAAAGCAUAUCUAUUUAGACUGCAAGCUAAAAGAUCUGGUGUGUGUUUUUAUUUUCAGGCUGAUUAUGAUUAUAAGCUGUACAAUAGAUUGCGUUGUUUUUAUCAAAUGUUUGAACUCUCAGCUGUGAUGUUUCUGCAACGAACUUGUAGGUCAAAUCAUUCAGGCACAGAGUAAUCUUCAGGGGGUGCUAUCUAGUGGUAAUCAAUAGCAACAUGUAUGUCCCUUCAUGAUUUUAGUUCUUGCUUACAUCAUUCACAUUUUGCUGUCAUUGGGUCCUUCAAAUGCAUUUUCAGAAAGAAAUUUGUUUCCUGGAGUCGCAUGCCUCAUCAUUCAUGCAGCUAAUAGCAAACUUGUGAUGCGUGUCUAAUUGAUCAAGCUCCUAUAGGAAAUGAAGAGCAGCCUUGCUGUGAUGACAGGAUUACCAUCCUUGAUGAGAGCAUACUAUCAUAUCAUGUCCUUUAUGCCAGCAUAUAAGGUUGUACGCACAAGCAUGAUAUCCUGAACAUGCUGUCCAUUAUGGACUUCAGCGCCAUACCUUGAUAUGGAUAUUUAUCACUUUGAUAUGGACAGAUUAAAGUUCAGCAAGUUUGCAGAAAGUUUGUUUGAGCAGCAGGGUAUAGCUAAUGCUACAUUGGACACUCUCUGCCUUCUCUCUUUUGCCAUUUAUGCGGCCAACUAUUGGAUCGAUCAUGCCAUCAGGCGUGAUAAAGUUAAAUCGAUUGAAUUCACUGAAAGUACAAGAUGACAAGCUUUUUACUUAGACCCUCUAGUUAUCAACUUUGCAUCUUCAAAUCUGUGAAGUAUAAAGCUCAUUAAUGUUAUUUACAAGUUUCUUUGAUCAGCUCAGCACCGAAUGCCCAUCUUUGGAAAAUCUGCAGUUGGCAGACAACACACCUGAUUUUCCUGAGAUUUCACCAGUCAUUGAAGACUCUGGAAAUAAUAGAGGUUGCAUUCGAAAGAAUGACUCCAAGGUGCCCAAUGUUCAUCAAUCUGACAAGUCUCUCCCUUGGAGAAUGGUGUUUUUCCAACAAAUCUGCUCCUUUAGCUUGCUUCUUCGAGCACUCUCCUAUGCUUUAGAUUCUUGGUCUGAAGCUCAAGCCGAUUUACACAGCUAAGGGAAUGUCGUUUGAAGCCAGACACCUUAAGAAGGUAACGAUCCACUGCUGAAAAAGAGGACAGACUUCCCGUGCUGAAGGCUAUACUGCUUGCCGAUGCAAGAUCUCUCGGGCAUAUCGUGUCGACGUGAGGACAGACUAGACCGUUCCUGCUUUCCAUAGGAAGCUGAGCUCAUCGGUCUUCUGCAUAUGGAAUGCAUCUUAGCAUAGAGCUUUUGCUCCGGACAUGCGCGGGACUUAAUCUAGCUAGACAUUUGGUUGUUCAAUGUCGUACUGAAUCCCUGGCCUCUGUCCUGACAUGGACCUGUUAGCAUGUACUACUACUUGUGUGUGAGUUGUGAGAAACUAGCUCCCAUUUUAUCUUGGUUGAUGGAUGGACAUUGCAACUCA